GAUGGGAGAUGUAGUUAUCUAUGCAGUGGGAUGAUGGGAGAAGUAGUUCUCCAUGCAGUGGGAUGAUGGGAUAUGUAGUUAUCUAUGUAGUGGGAUGAUGGGAGAUGUAGUUCUCCAUGCAGGGGAUGAUGGGAGAUGUAGUUAUCUAUGCAGGGGAUGAUGGGAGAUGUAGUUCUACAUGCAGUGGGAUGAUGAGAGAUGUAGUUCUCCAUGCAGUGGGUGAUGGGAGAUGUAGUUCUUCAUGCAGUGGGUGAUGGGAGAUGUAGUUCUUCAUGCAGGGGAUGCUGGGAGAUAUAGUUCUCCAUGCAGUGGGUGAUGGGAGACGUAGUUCUCCAUGCAUUUGGUGGUGGGAGAUGUAGUUCUCCAUGUAGUGGGAUGAAGGGAGAUGUAGUUCUCCAUGCAGUGGGAUGAUGGGAGAUGUAGUUCUACAUGCAGUGGGAUGAUGGGAGAUGUAGUUAUCUAUGCAGGGACGAUGGGAGAUGUACUUCUCCAUGCAGUGGGUGAUGGGAGAUGUAGUUCUUCAUGCGGGGGAUGAUGGGAGAUAUAGUUCUCCAUGCAGUCGGUGAUGGGAGAUGUAGUUCUCCAUGUAGUGGGAUGAUGGGAGAUGUAGUUAUCCAUGUAGUGGGAUGAUGGGAGAUGUAAUUAUCUAUGCAGGGACGAUGGGAGAUGUAGUUAUCUAUGCAGGGGAUGAUGGGAGAUGUAGUUCUCUAUGUAGUGGGAUGAUGGGAGAUGUAGUUCUCCAUGCAGGGGAUGAUGGGAGAUGCAGUUAUCUAUGCAGGGGAUGAUGGGCGAUGUAGUUAUCUAUGCAGUGAGAUGAUGGGAGAAGCAGUUCUCCAUGCAGUGGGAUGAUGGGAGAUGUAGUUAUCUAUGCAGUGGGAUGAUGGGAGAAGUAGUUCUCCAUGCAGUGGGAUGAUGGGAUAUGUAGUUAUCUAUGUAGUGGGAUGAUGGGAGAUGUAGUUCUCCAUGCAGGGGAUGAUGGGAGAUGUAGUUAUCUAUGCAGGGGAUGAUGGGAGAUGUAGUUCUACAUGCAGUGGGAUGAUGAGAGAUGUAGUUCUCCAUGCAGUGGGUGAUGGGAGAUGUAGUUCUUCAUGCAGUGGGUGAUGGGAGAUGUAGUUCUUCAUGCAGGGGAUGCUGGGAGAUAUAGUUCUCCAUGCAGUGGGUGAUGGGAGACGUAGUUCUCCAUGCAUUUGGUGGUGGGAGAUGUAGUUCUCCAUGUAGUGGGAUGAAGGGAGAUGUAGUUCUCCAUG
rnacentral:lncRNA from 1 species